rnacentral:rRNA from 1 species
GUGGGGAAUCUUGCGCAAUGGGCGAAAGCCUGACGCAGCCAUGCCGCGUGAAUGAUGAAGGUCUUAGGAUUGUAAAAUUCUUUCACCGGGGACGAUAAUGACGGUACCCGGAGAAGAAGCUCCGGCUAACUUCGUGCCAGCAGCCGCGGUAAUACGCAGGGGGCUAGCGUUGCUCGGAAUUACUGGGCGUAAAGGGCGCGUAGGCGGACAGCUUAGUCAGAGGUGAAAGCCCAGGGCUCAACCUUGGAAUUGCCUUUGAUACUGGUUGUCUUGAGUGUGGGAGAGGUGAGUGGAACUCCGAGUGUAGAGGUGAAAUUCGUAGAUAUUCGGAAGAACACCAGUGGCGAAGGCGACUCACUGGCCCAAUACUGACGCUGAGGCGCGAAAGCGUGGGUAGCAAACAGGAUUAGAAACCCGGGUAGUCC